ACAGAUUAGAGCUUGAGUUUAAAGUAUUUUAUUUACACUAAAAUGAUAAUUUUUAAUUUAAUCUGA
rnacentral:tRNA from 1 species